rnacentral:misc_RNA from 1 species
AAAGUCGUAACAAGGUUUCCGUAGGUGAACCUGCGGAAGGAUCAUCACAGGGUCUGAGAGGAUGCACACCGUGAAUGGUAUGGAGGGCUGCGGGGUGGGUUGGCGGGUAGAGGGGCGUGACGCGCAAGCGUGACACGCACCACCGCCCGCCAGCACGCCCAGCGGCCGCAUUCGUGCAGACUACACUAUGCAACCACAUAAAAGCAAAAUAAGCACAACACAACUUUCAACAAUGGAUCCCUUGGCUCUC